rnacentral:rRNA from 1 species
GACUACCGGGGUAUCUAAUCCUGUUCGCUCCCCACGCUUUCGCGCUUCAGCGUCAGUCCUAGGCCAGAGAGCCGCCUUCGCCACUGGUGUUCUUCCAGAUAUCUACGCAUUUCACCGCUACACCUGGAAUUCCGCUCUCCUCUCCCGAACUCAAGAGAACCAGUCUUAGAUGCAAUUUAUGGGUUGAGCCCAUAGCUUUCACAUCUAACUUAAUCCCCCGCCUAGACGCCCUUUACGCCCAAUAAUUCCGAACAACGCUAGCCCCAUACGUAUUACCGCGGCUGCUGGCACGUAGUUAGCCGGGGCUUUAGGCAGGUACCGUCAUCACACCGAAUAUUACCCGGUGCUUAUUCUUCCCUGCUUACUGAACUUUACAACCCGAAAGCCUUCAUCAUUCACGCGGCGUCGCUGCAUCAGGGUUGCCCCCAUUGUGCAAGAUUCCUCACUGCUGCCCCCCGUAGG